GUCGUUGACAUCGUUUCAUCGACGAACCCAAGAAACAGGUUCCAGGACGACCCUUUCGAUCGGCUGUGGGAAACCGUCGACGUUUCCUCCUACUGGACCGCGAUCAACACCACCUCUCCUGUCCAGAUCUUCGCCAAUGUUUUGUUCGAGGUUCCCUCCGCCGUGCUCCAGACCGCCGUCGCCCCAGUUCAGCUGGAAGACGCCCAAAUCUGAGGAUGCCUGCCCCCAGCACCACAUCUUUAUGCACUUCCCCGACCUCCAAUCCCUUGACCCAGGCCAGUCCAGAAACUUCAACAUCAACCUCAACGGCCAAUUCUACCACCCCCCCGUACUCUUCCCCCUGAGACCUCUAAUCGGGAUAUGUGUACGCCACGAGACCGUCUGAUACGGACCAUAACUUCUCCCUCGCCGAGACAGACUCUUCGACCCUUCCGCGCAUCAUCAAUGCGCUCGAGGUCUAUUCCGUCAGGCAGCUCACGGAGAACGCCACCGAUAGCUCCGACGUGGAUGCCAUUGAGGCAAUCAAGAAUCAGUAUAAAGUGAACAGAAAUUGGACGUGGUCGGGUGAUCCAUGCGCUCCAGGAGGGAUACAUGGGAUGGUUUGGAUUGCAGCUAUAGUAUUUCUGAUCCCCCUGGGAUUACAUCAGUGAGAGUUUCCAAAUGUCUAGACCAAGAUUUUUGCAACUUAAUAUGCUUAUUUAACAUCCUCAUGGACUCGUGUAUUGCAGAAACUCGUCUUAUAGUGGAUUGACGGGCAGUAUAUGUCAUUCCUUUGCUAACAUCAAAGCAAUCGAGUAUUGGGGUCUUGCCGAAGGUUAAUUUUGGCCUGGGAAUCAGGAUCUCCUAUAAUUUUAAUAGGUGGUGAUUUUGUAUGACAAUCUGCAAGGUCACGGCUGUCUGAUGACAAUUUCCAGGGACCUGUCAUACAACAACUUAACAGGGCCAGUACAUGACAUUUUAGCAGAACUUCCUUUCCUCCAAGUCCUAAAUUUGUCACGCAACCAGUUAAUUGGGUCAAUUCCUUCUGCUUUCCUUGUAAAAUCACAAAAUGGACUUACAGUAAGGCUCAGCACUUAGCAAGGGUUCAUCACCAGAAUUUGGUUUCUAUGAUUGGUUGCUGCAAUGACAAAGACUGUCUGUUACUUGUUUAUGAAUAUAUGUCUCAAGGGACCCUACAAGAUCAUCUGCAAGGUUUGGAACUCUGUUCCACAUUCUAGUUUGGUCAUUGCUCUCCGAUCUGGAUCUAUGGUACAGAUACUGUCUAGUUCAACUCAGCAUAACUCAAUAGACAAGAGAGUAUGAUGACACUUCUUUUGUCUGCCAAGGAUUUUUCAAGUAUUCACAACCUCAAAACAAAAGAUUGUUGCCUGUGGAACAUGUUGGUAUCUGACACUGAUCAAAAUUCAGCCAUUUUCUUGUCAUUGAUUAGAUCUCUCUAGAGCAAGGUUUUACAUAUUGGUAGCGUGUGGGGUUUUGUAAUGUUGCUAGUAUGAUAUGGCCCGCAUAGGAAUGCGCUGAUCGAAGGAAACCAAACAAAUGGCAUGGCCAUGAUAUGAAAUGGCUUUCACAAGCUUCAAGCUGCUGGUACCACAUGCUGCCUAAAAUUCAGUCAUUGUUCUAGCAGAACACAUAAUGCUGGAGCUUUGAGUUGGGGGCAGCGACUCCAGAUUGCAGUCGAUGCUGCACAAGGACCAGAGUAUAUUUGCAUAAGGGGUGCCAACCACCAUUAAUUCACAGAGAUGCAAAGACAGGGAAUAUCCUUUUGAGUGAAAGGAUGGAGGCCAAGAUAGCAGAAGAUUUUGGGUUGUCAAAGAUACCUUGAUCCUGAUUAUGUCAAUCUUCUCAUUUCUUUAAUUUUUCUGCUAGAGAGUUGAAACAUACAUAACUAAGUUGAUAGAUGGUGGUCAAGAAGAUAAACAAUGGCCAUUCGUAAACCACACAUUUGAAAGUAAAUUGUUAUUUUCAUGUUAUCAUUUAUUUUCUGCAUUAUGCAUAGACAUCUUAGGUUAAACAUACAUCACAAAGGAGAGAAAAUUAAUUUGCUGAUAUGCAUUUCAGCAUUAGAAGUUUCUAUUGCUGCUGUUAUCAUUUCUUUUGCUGUUUGUGUUUAUACCUUCUGCAAAUGAGACAGUUGAUCGCAUCUGGCAGGUCUCCAAGGAUUGUUGUAUUACAGCAGGUGGUACUACACCACCUACCAGCUCAGUCAGAAAAGCGAUGUGUAUAGCUUUGGUGUGGUUCUUUUGGAGCUGAUCACAGAGCAGCCUCCACUCCUACAAGGUUCAAAGAAUGCACACAUUGAGUCCGCCAAGGACUUGUCCAAGGGAACAUUGAAGAUAUUGUUGAUGCCAAGCUGCAAGGCCAAUACGACAUAAAUUCUGUUUGGAAAUGUGCUGAUAUAGCCAUGAAAUGCACAUCACAGGGAUCCCAUCAGUGGCCAACCAUGGAAGAAGUGUGAUGCAACUAAAGGAGAGCUUGGUACUGGAAACCCCUCAUGACAGGACUGAGAACGUAGGCACAAGCAGUGAGUACCCUAACAUGGAAGUCAGUGAUGUGAGCCAGAAUAGUGCAUAUGUCGCAACAAUGUCAGCGGCCGGCAUCCGUCCAUCAGCAAGGUAAUGCUGGGAUCACUUGAACUUUACUCUUGAGGCUCUGUUCUAUUCCGAUCCUAGGAGUUUGAAAUGGUUUCUGGCUGAAGUUUGAAUCGUUUAGCUUCAUGCAUGUCUUAUGCACUUUGAUGAUUGAUUCGGAAAAUAAGUUUCUGAGAUCCAAAAAUAAGGCACUCCAUUUGUAUACUGAGGACAGCAAAUACUGGUUUCAAUACAAACUGAAAUAUUUCUGAUGCUUGA